AUUGAACGCUGGCGGCAUGCCUUACACAUGCAAGUCGAACGGCAGCGGGGACUUCGGUCCGCCGGCGAGUGGCGAACGGGUGAGUAAUGUAUCGGAACGUACCUUUCAGUGGGGGAUAACGUAGCGAAAGUUACGCUAAUACCGCAUAUUUUGUGAGCAGGAAAGCAGGGGAUCGCAAGACCUUGCGCUGAUUGAGCGGCCGAUAUCAGAUUAGCUAGUUGGUGGGGUAAAGGCCUACCAAGGGUACGAUCUGUAGCGGGUUUGAGAGGAUGAUCCGCCACACUGGGACUGAGACACGGCCCCGACUCCUACGGGAGGCAGCAGUGGGGAAUUUUGGACAAUGGGGGCAACCCUGAUCCAGCCCUGCCGCGUGAGUGAAGAAGGCCUUCGGGUUGUAAAGCUUUUUCAGGUGGAAAGAAAACGCAUGGGUCAAUACCCUGUGUGGAUGACGGUACCAUCAGAAGAAGCACCGGCUAACUACGUG
rnacentral:rRNA from 1 species